CUUAUCAACAGACUUUAUUCAACGAACCGAAGUUUGCUACAAUACUUCAAACUGAUCUACGUAUCUUAUGAAGAAUAAAAAACCGUCCGAUUAUUAAUAAUAGUUUUUUUUUUAGAAGUGAAAUGCGAAGGCCAUCGAAUGCCAUGCAAUAAUAUUUAAAUGAAGUUGAAACCUUCUUCAACGUACGCAACGACGAUCACAAAAGAAAUGUGGAAGCCAGGAGGAAGCCAAGAGGAAGCCAAGAGGAAGCCAAGAGGAAGCAAGUCUUUGCCCUUUCUGAAACGAGCUGCUCUAAGCGAAAACCCUGGCGAAACCCCUGGCGAAACCCCUGGCGAAACCCCUGGCGAUGACGGAUUCAUGGCCCGUGGGAUGCAAGACGUUUCCUUCUCUCGUCUCUUUUCCUCCUCUUUUCCGGCAAAUUCAACCGAGCGAUUCAUUUGUCGGUCUUUGAUCCGCGACCAACGAGGCACACUCGGAAAAUUAGCGAGAUUUAUUACGUUCUUCCUUAGAAUAUACACAAUUUAUACUUUUUUUCUAUUUUUUUUUUCUAUUUUUCUCGUCACCUGUUCUUAUGAUAGAAUCCGAAUCUUCGUUUUAACGAUAAUGUCCAAUAAAAAUAUUUCUUAAUUGGCAAAUUAUAUUAUUGUAUACAUUGUUAUUGAUAGCAGCGAUUAAAACUAAUUGUAAGAUGAAAGGACUACUUUGUCGAAAGGAUACCCAACGACCCACCCUGGGCAUCUUUGGUGUUCCGUUUAUCUUGAAAUGAUCUUGCUCUACGAAACGUCUUUGAGGGUGUAUCUUUUUAUG